rnacentral:rRNA from 1 species
UACGGAGGGAGCUAGCGUUGUUCGGAAUUACUGGGCGUAAAGCGCACGUAGGCGGCUUUCUAAGUCGGGGGUGAAAUCCUGGAGCUCAACUCCAGAACUGCCUUCGAUACUGGAGAGCUUGAGUCCGGGAGAGGUGAGUGGAACUGCGAGUGUAGAGGUGAAAAUUCGUAGAUAUUCGCAAGAACACCAGUGGCGAAGGCGGCUCACUGGCCCGGUACUGACGCUGAGGUGCGAAAAGCGUGGGGAGCAAACAGGG